rnacentral:sRNA from 1 species
ACAAACACGGCGGAACCGGUUGCAGGGAGGUUGCUUGAAUUCUCUCAGCUGCGCCCCCUGACCUAAUAGUCGCUGGCACAAGCUGCGCCCAGAGACGUGGGAGCGUUCUCUUGUUUUCCGAGUGCGCAGACUCAUCGGGUCACAGUUUAUGCUUUUAUGACGCGGGAACACAACAGAUUUGAGAAGCCUCGGAUUAAGGAAUAAUUUAUGAAGCUCCGUUGACUACCGUGGAGAGAUCAUAAUUUGGGGUUCAAGAUUCCAGUCUGUGUUUUUGCAGAGGUGCCCUGAGGAGCAGGGAAGCAUGGCUAUUGUGGAUGUAAAAGCCAUGUUCAAGGCUCUGUUAUUCUGCACCUACACAUUUCUGAUGCCAAGUCUUCCUGAUGAGUUAUUAUAACUCUUUUAUCAUUAUGAGAAAAUUAUCUUUGAUAAUAUAGAGUAACUUGAAGUCUGUUUCAUCUGAUACUAAUAUAGCCAUUCCAACAUUUUUUUUCUGCAAAUUAAAUGCCAAGAUUUAAAAGUUAUCUAA